rnacentral:lncRNA from 1 species
AGCCCAUAUAGCUUUAUCAAGAGUAAGAACUCAGUGCCUCUCUGCUUGCUCGUCAAGGCUGUGGAGUCUCCUUGGAGGUCUCCAGACUCCACCUGGCCGUGGGCCUGGAUGCCCUGCUCAGGGUGGCCCUGUUGGGGCAGGGAUGGUGCCUGAUGGGCCCAGAGGGCUCUGCCUGCCUCAGCCUGCCUCAGCCUUUCUGUGACUCUGUGAAAUUUGCUUUUCCCCUUCGGUUCUGCAUUUCAACAUCUGACACAGUGUGUGUACACUGACCUCGGGGCACUGAAUUGCCCAAAUUCCUCGCCAUAAUUCUCCACAAAAUCACAUUACAAAGUAUCCGUUGGGUUUCUCAAAGGCUUGAGUGACUCUCCAGGCAACACUUGGGCACAGAAAAGCAUAAGCAAGAGCACCUGCACACGUCCUUUGCCCUGACAAACACAGAGCUUCCUAGUUUCUCUCUGGCAGCUUUACCUGAAGCACAAACAUGGCCUUUCAACUUCCACACCCCACAGCAGCCUCCCCAGGAAAACAACACCCCCGCAGCCACCCUGCAGCCCGGUAACCCGGCUCUGCGGAAAAAUGCAGGAUAAUUACAGCUUCAUUUCAGCAGCAGGUGCAGCUCAUUAACCUGCAGCCGCCUGCCAUCUCCCAGAGAGCAGAGACAGCUCAGCUCUGCUGGAGAGAGAGGCCUGCAGGGAAAAUUCACUGAGCAGCGGGGCCUGGGGAGAUGUUUCAGCCACGGUGUUAGGUUUUGCUGCAGUGACAUCUGCUCUCCUCUCUGCAAGGUCUGCCUUUUGCACAGGCAGGUAUAUCUCUGACCUGCCAGCCUGGCUUCAGCUCGCUGCCAGGCUCAGCCUUCUUUUAGUAUGUGACACAGUGAACAUACAUUUGGCAUGUGCACCUGGCUGCUUCUGGAGUUAUCCACGCUUCAAGCCACCCAUCAGCAAAAGACAUCCUGCCUAUAGCAAGCCAUGCUGCCAGGUGAACUGUGCUCCCUUUGUUUUUGUUAAUCUGCUGCCAUUAGCAUUAAUUGGCCUAUGACAGGAGCAUGAUGCUGUUGCAUAUGUUUUUAUGAUCACUCCUAGAUUGCUGUUACUAAGAAAGCCAAAUCAAACUGGAAAAACUCUUCUUCCCACAGCUGAGAUUUGAAUGGAGAUCAACUGCUUAACCUGCAAGGAAGGAAUUUUAUUAUUUCAGGUGCUUUUUCUCCAGAGUAAUUGCUGUGGUCUGUUUUACAUUUUAAUUAAUGUUGCUUGGUUUGUUCAGGCAGCUUUAGCUUGCUUGUUCAUCACUCUGUGGUAGGAGGUAUGCUUUGUAAUUAAAAACAAGUCUGCUUGUAAGAUCAUCAGUAAGGAAGUCAUAGUUUUUACAUAAAGCACUUUGUAGUCACCUUUAGAAAAUAAAUGUGUAAACUGCAAUCA